rnacentral:rRNA from 1 species
CCCGAAAAAGCCGUUCUCAGUUCGGAUUGCAGGCUGCAACUCGCCUGCAUGAAGCUGGAAUCGCUAGUAAUCGCGGAUCAGCAUGCCGCGGUGAAUACGUUCCCGGGCCUUGUACACACCGCCCGUCACACCACGAGAGCCGGCAACACCCGAAGUCGAUGAGGCAACCUACGGGAGCCAGUCGCCGAAGGUGGGGCUGGUGAUUGGGGUGAAGUCGUAACAAGGUAUCCCUACCGGAAGGUGGGGAUGGAUCACCUCCUUUCU